rnacentral:lncRNA from 1 species
GAGAGAGUGAGAUAUGUGAUUGUGUGCGUCUGUGUGUGAGAGGCGAGAGAUGGGAGAGAGGGGAGUCAAGGGACGGCGGAGGCGGCGCUACUACCGCCGCCGGAAAAGAGAAAGAGGAGGGGAGAGGGUGCUGCUACAUGUGUGUGUGAGUGUGACCGAGAGAGAGAGAAAAGAUUAAUUGUAUGCGUGUGUGUAUUAUGCGGCGUGGGGGGGGGAGAAGAAAAAGGGCGAGAGUGUGGGCUAGGGCUUGGUUGGGGAGUGGGCUUCAGUGAUGGGCCGGGUUUUAAUUAGAGUGGGCUGAGUAUGAUUUUUAAAAGCUUGAGCCGAAUUUUAUUUAUUUUAGUUUCAGUUGGGCAUAUUAAUUAAUAAAUUUGUUGGGCCUAAUUUUAUUUAAGGACUUUGAACUGCCUUCAAUUAAUUAAAUUGGGCUUCUUAUUUUUAAAUAAUUGAACUAUUAUUAGUUUGAUUAAUUUAUUUAAAGGAUAAUUUUUAUAAUAAUAUUAUAUUAUUAUUAUGUGCAUAUUUUAAGUAAUUACUUAUUAUAUGUUAAGCAUGACAUGAUUUGCAUUAUAUUUUGCAAUAAGAAUAUUUAUGAUUUAAUGGUUUUAUUAUAAUUCCAAUUAUUAAAGAAAGAUGAGUAAGAAUAUUGUUGGUGUUCUUAACUCAAGAGAAAUAUUUUCAAUUAUUUAUUCAUUAAAUUUUGAAAACCCGGCUAAAUGAAUCAUAGAAUAUUAAGCACUUCACUAUGACUUAAGAUUAGAUUCAGGAGACCUAUUAAGAUUAUAGAUUCUUGUAGGCUUUGUGGAUCGUGAGGACUAGCACUGCUAUACCAAUUCAGAGUUAAGAAUAAACGACAGGCUUUGCCUAUUCAGUGGGCUUAUUUCCAAAUGUAUGAUUUAGCUAUUGAGCUUAAAAUAUUUCAAUGAAAUGAAAAUAGUUUAUCCAAUAAAUAUUUUGUGCACUCUGCUCUGUUUAAGGCUCGCAUAAGUUAAUCGAUCGAGGUUCUCUCAUGACCUAACACGUUAUUUGAGAAUUGUGUACACCUAUUAGCUGACUCGGUGGGUUGAUCUCCAUCGGGCACUAAUCAUGUAUGAGGCGUUAUAAGGGUGCUCGACGGGAUGUGUUCCGGAGCAUUGGGUCCCAAAUGGGAACUUGACUGGGUUACGCCCUCAGUCCAAGUAAAGCAGGAGUAAUGGAUCCGUCGGUGGCUAAAAGGUCCGGGAUCACAGCGAGUAACGGAAAGGGAGUGUGACAAUUGCGCGCAAUAUAAUAAAAUAUUUUAACAUGCUUAGAAGUAUUUCAAUUUAAAACCUUCUAAGUCAUGUAAAGUAUAAUUGGAUAAACUGCUCUUAUGAUUAUGAAAUAUUUAUAAAAAUGCUAGCCCACUAAGUACAUUAGUACUUAGCCCAAAAUUCUUUCAAAUGUUUUCAGGUUGAUUGGUCGGUGCUGACGGGGCAGAGCUGAGGCAAAAGCUCUAAUUUGUCUUUUAUUUCUCCAACUUAAGACUUUUAUGUUAAAUUCUGAAUUAUGUUUCUUAUCGAGCUUAAACUCUCAACUUCUAGCUCUAUGUUAUUAACGUUGGUUAUCGGAAGCAUGAAACCGAAGUUGUGAUCCUAAGGCUUAGAAUGUUGUUGAUUGAUUAAUAUCACUUGAUUUUUGUCUUUCUUCACUCAAAGGGCGUUCCCCGACUUUUUAUCCUAUUAUUUGAAUCCCACAAGGUUCUUUCCUUGUUUAUUUCUAUGAUUUUAGUCGCACCUCGAUUAUAGUUUAUUCCUUCAAGAAUUGGGGUGUGACAACUGUCCCAGCUUUCUGUUUCAGAUUCCUGAACUCAGUUUGCUUCUUCUGUCUAUAGCAUCCUGGUAUGUACUUCUCAUACAACACAGUCUUAAAAUUUUCCCAAGUGAAGUUUUCCCACUGUUCAUUAGUCAUUGUGCGUCUCACUGAUUCCCACCAGAAGUCGGCUUCGUCCACCAGUUGGUAGGUUGCACAAGUUACUUUAUCUUCGUCAUCGCAACGGAUGUAGUUAAAGAUACGCUCUAUGGCCCUAAUCUAUUUUUCGGCGUCUGUUGGAUCGCCCAACCCGUCAAACGUUGGAGGUUUUUCCUUACGAAAAUUCUCUUCAGCAGUACGAUUUGGUGCUACUUGUUGGAUUGGCUCUUCAGGGAUGAAUCCCCUGCCGCGUCCGCGACCACGACCACGUCCUCGUUCCCUACCGCGCCCUCUUGGUGCGUCUUCCAUUCUGGUUUACGAACGAUAUAAACACAACUGUGAGACUCAUUCUUCAUACAUACAUACCUAGAUAUGUACAAGAUAUAUCGCUUCUAUGGUGUAACCAUGUGAAAGACUAGUUCUAUGUGGAAACUAAUCUUAACUUAAGUGGAAUAACUUAAGUGAAACCUUAAUCUCAUGACAUUUAUUAUACGUUGUAACAUAUCUAUGUUAAACGCUGCUAUCUUAUCAUUCCUUACUUAAAUCGAUCAAGCGGAGCUUUCACGACUAACAUUUCUAAAGUAUCCUUAGGUAGUACUCAAACGGUUUGUAAGAGGACUCAUCAUUCAUAUCGUACAGGCAGUGGACCUAAAACGAUAACAUAAAACUUUUCAUUCAUUUAAUCAUUUGUUCCUUUUGAAACCUUAAAACAUUUGGACAGUAAGUGUCCCUUUCAUGAAAACUCUUCUUAAGUCGAAAAGAUUAAAGGAAUCUAACUCGACCAUAAAUUUAUUGAUUCGUUAAGGGCUCGGGUAGUCCCAAACACGACAUACAUACAUACAUUGGUUAUAUGAGUCAAAGGCUCAAAAUAACAAUAUGAAAGCGAUAAGCAAUCCAUAUAACAUCAUUCAUUGAAAGCGCACUUCUUAAAAACUUUGAAAGCAUUUAAAACAUUGAACUUUUAAAGCAUACCUUAGUUGCGGCAGUGUGACGGCGAACUGAGGGUCAACAACUUUCUUAGAAGUCUAGAGAUACUAAUCUAGACUCAACAUUAGAAGCUUACGGUUAUCAGAGACAUGAAAGAAAACUUAUGCUCUGAUACCACUUGUAACAGCCCGACUUCCCAAGGCAAAAGGAAAUAGGAAGAAUAAUGGAAAGUCUUAAUCAACCAGAAUAAACUUGACAAUCUACCCAUUAAAUUGGGUAUUCAUAUUCCAAAGAGAUAAAAUGAAAUGAGGUAAAUUGAAAGGCCUUAAGAGUUGCCAAUCAAAUGACAAUAUUCAAACUCAGGAUCACAUAAGUUUAGUUUCAUGCUUCAGAUAACCAACAUUCCUUAAUCAAAAUACUUGAGAGUCAAAACUCUAAGCCCAACAAAAGAUAUCGUUUAGAGUCAUAACAUAAGGGUCUUAAGUCAAGAGAACGAAAGACAGAUAAAGGCUAGCACAACAGCGGAAGUCAAAACACGGAGUUGAACCCUAGCCUCAGCUCUCCCCGUCAACACCAGCCAUCAACCUGAAAAACAUUUGAAAGUAUUUGGGCUAAGUACUAAUGUACUUAGUGGGCUGCAACUUUUAAAACAUUUCACAAUUCGUAAGAGUAGUUUAUCCAAUCAUUCAUGACAUAACUUAGAAGGUUUUAAAGUAAAGGAACUUCUAAGAAUGUUAAAGCAUUUCAUUUUAUUAGCGCGCUGUUGUCACACUCUGUCCUGUUACUCGCUGUGAUCCCGGACCUUUUAGCCACCGACGGAUCCCUCAUUCCCAUGACACUUGCCCUGAGGACAUAACUCAGACAAGUUGAAUUGACCUCGGGACGCUACCCAGGCAUGCCUUACAUGAUACGUGCUCCGGAACACAUCCAGCCAAGCACCCUUAUAACGCCUCUGACAUGAAUUAGUGCCCGAUGGAGAUCAACCCACCGAAACAACUAACAAGUGUACACAAUUCUCAAACAACGUGUUAGGUCAUAAGAGAACCUCGAUCGAUCCAUGAAUUGCGAGCCUUAAACAUUACAGAGCGCACAAAAAUAUUUAUUGGAUAAACAGUUUUCAUUUCAUGAAAUAUUUAGAGCUUAAUAACUCAAUCAUACAUUUGGAAAGUAAGCCCACCUGAUUACAGCUCUAGUUGUGAUGCAGUAGCUCUCGUCUAGGUAUUACUCUCGCGCUUGACCUUUAUUGCGAGAAUUUAAAUAAGAUAUUUGCUCGAGCAAAAAUUCUCAAAUAAUGAGAGUGCAUGAGUAACUAUGCAUGAUUUAUUAUUCUUGAUAAUUCCAUUAUUAAUCCCAACUAUCGGAUUGAUUUAAGCAAGAUAACUAACUGAAGCUCGUCUCGUACGAUUGGAUAAAUAACUAUGACUAACCCGUUCGUCUAGGGUGUUCUAACUUACAGGGUAUUAAAAGAUCUCGCUCUAUUUAAUCGAUUAAAGAAAAUAGCUAAGUCGGCUCAUUCGCUUAGUAAUCUCGUAAGAAUUUAAUCGUAAUUGGGCAGCUGCGUCUAAUUAACUCGGCUAAACAAAUAUGAAUUGAAGUAAUAGUAAUAUAAGUCAAAUAAUUAAAAGGCUCAACAUAAUACAGCCUAAUAAUUAAUUAAGAGUGGGGUUGAAAUAAAAAAAUAAUUACCAUUCAUAUAUAUAUAUAAAUCUGGAGCCCAAGUAAAAUAAUAAAAUUUGGGCUGAAUAAUUAUUACAAGGCCCAACUGAGAUGAGAUUAUUGGGCUCAAAUAAUUAAAUAAAUCAGGGUCCAAAUAAGAUAUUAGCAGCCCAACUGAAAUAAUUAAGUCUAGGCCCAAGUAAAAUAAUUAGCAGCCCAAGGAAAAAUACAAUGGCCCAAAAUAAUUAAUGGUCCAGAACCAUUUAAACACAAGCCCAAUCUUUUAAAAGGUAGAGGCCCAAGGAAUGGCCCAACCCUUUCUUAUCUCUCCCACUCGGUCUCUCCCUCUUCUCAAACAGACGCACGCCUCGUUCUCCCUCUCACUCUCCUCGCCUUCAGACGAGGCGUCCGCCGCCGCGACUCCGGCGCGGCCGCGCCUGGCCGAGGGCGGCGCCUCUCGUCCAUCUCACUCUCUCCUCUCUCAAAAAUCAGAACGCCUCUCUUCCCCCUUUCUCUCUCUCUCUCUAAUCUCUACCUAAAUCACGCUCAGCCUUCUCCUCCCUCGAUCUGCCUCCAGUCGAGGCGUCCGCCGCCGCCGCUUCCUUCUCCGGCCGUUCCAGCUGCCGGCGUGGCCGGCGUUCAUCUGUUGACCGCGCCGCCUCCUCGCCCUAAACCCUCUCUUCACCGCUGUACAAGCAGAGCCCCAAAUCGAGCCCUAAUUCCUCCAUCACCUGAAUCCGCCACCACCACUUUCGAAAUCCGGCGAACGGCCGUUGCCGGUGAGUGAGGCCGCCCCUCCUUCGUCUGUCGUCCUUCCUCCCUCAAUUUCUCUCUCAAAAGUCCACCAAAGAAGAUAACUGAGGAGUCCUAUUCUCUUUCAAAAUCAGAAAUCGCCGCCGCCGCCCCUGAAAUUUCCGACGACGUUGUUGUCUCAAGCCGGCGUUGCUCCGCCUGAAAUCGCCACCGCCGCCGUGCACCGAGCCGCUGCUGCUGUCUCUCAGCUUCAGGGGAGGCAGCUCAAGAAUUGAGCCCUAUCCUUCCCCCAAAAAGAACCGGCCACACUCCCUCUUCCUCUUCCAGAAUCCGGCAACCUUGUCGCCUUUACGUCCCUCCGGCGAGCAGAGAAGCGUCUGUUGUUGCUGCUUUCUCCGGGUCGGCGGUUCGAGCAGCCGCACUGCUGCUGGAUUCGGGCGAUGGGUACGCCGCCGCUGCUGCUACUCUAGAAUCGGCGCGGGGCCAUCGCUGUGAUCGGGAGUCGUCUGCCUUUCACCGCUCGAUGCCGUCGACGCUGCUGUCCCCGCGAGUGGCCGCCC